AUCAAUCCACAGGACUUAUCAGCAGAACUCUUCUUAAACCUUUUUUAUGAUAGACUGACGAUACACUUAAUUUAAUACACACUCUCAGAAAUAGAGGUACGAGAGAAGAACAUUUUUGUACCUAUAGGUACAUUUUUUGUAAAUGUUCCCUUAAAAGUACAAUACUGGUCUUUAAAAGUCCAGAAAUGCCCCUUGAAAGGUUCAAUUUGAAAUAAAGUACAAAUCUGUACCAUUUUGACCUGUACUGCAGUGACAGUGGCAGAAUAUGGUAAUGGGUCAGCAUGGGAAAAUCUGGAUGGGCCUGGUUAAUUGUAAAAUUCAUAUGAGAUGUGAGUGUGCUCAUAAAAGCUACAUGUUAUAAUCAAAUCUGUUGGUCCUCUCCUCUGUACGUAAAUUAUCCUAUGAUGCAAAGAAUAUCUGUAACCUACUUUUGUGUAAGUUAUGUUAAAUUAUAUUAAAAAAAACACACACACACAAUGACAUGCAGGCACAACCAAAUGAUGUUAAAAAAAAACUGGUCCAUUUCCAUUUUAUUAAGUUCCAGUUAUAAUUUUUAAUGUUUUAAAUCUUGGUUGUAGCCUUCAAAAACGUGAAAUCAUUUUACUGUUAUGUUUGGCCAUUUACUUUUUCGCUUUUACUACAUCCUAGAAUUGUUCAUUAAUUGUGAGGUUUUUAUGGAAUUUGCAACAUCAAGUUAAACCGAGGUUCUUUGGAAGUUAAAAUGUCAAGCAGAUUUUUAUGUUACGGUGACUACAUUUUGUAAGUUACAAAUAUAGUUCGCCAAGACAGCAUAACGGUUUCUAAACAACUGCGCAUUAAUACCACAAUGUUGUAUUUUCAUGUGUCAAGUUCGCAACGCGCAUUAAUCCCAAAGGCUGAAAAGCCAGCAGCCAUGAGUGCUCCGCCUCCGCGCUGACUAGCGUUGACGCAGAAAAUGACUCUCAGGGGGUUAUCGAUGGAGGAGCUCCUUAAAAAGUUGAUGGAAGAAGGCAUUGAUGUGUCAGACGACGAGGCGCAAAGGUUUAGAGGUACCCAACCCACUCAGACUACAUCCAGGUCAUCAAAGCCCUGAUUGUGAAGUAUCCUUUCUUAAGAGAUGUACACGGAAAUGGUUAUGACACCUGGCACAGCCAACUCAAGAGAAAGUUCAAAGCAGAACGGGCUCCCCUAAUCAGCAACGAAGAAGUGAACUGGGUUAAAGAAAAGUUUGGACGCACGCAGAAACAUCGGACCACAGAGGAAUCCAGCAGCUCCUGUCUGAAGAGACUGAAGC